AGUGAACGCUGGCGGUAGGCCUAACACAUGCAAGUCGAACGGCAGCACAGUGAGAGCUUGCUCUUACGGGUGGCGAGUGGCGGACGUGUGAGGUAUACAUCGUAAUCUACUUUUUGGGGUGGGUUAACGAAGGGAAACUUACUCUAGUACCGCAUACGACCUACGGGGGAAGGCAGUGGAUCUUCUGACCUUGCGCGAUUGCAUGAGCCGAUGUUGAAUUUGUUAGUGGGCGGGGUAAAGGCCCACCAAGGCGACGAUCCGUAGCUGGUGUGAGAGAAUGAUAAGCCACACUGGAAGUGAGACACGGUCCAGACUCCUACGGGAGGCAGCAGUGGGGAAUAUUGGACAAUGGGCGCAAGCCUGAUCCAGCCAUACCGCGUGGGUGAAGAAGGCCUUCGGGUCGUAAAGCCCUUUUGUUGGGAAAGAAAAGCAGCAGGUUAAUACCAAGCUGUUCUGACGGUAACCAAAGAAUAAGCACCGGCUAACUUCGUG
rnacentral:rRNA from 1 species